CUACGGGACGCAGCAGUCGAGAAUCAUUCGCAAUGGGCGAAAGCCUGACGAUGCGACGCCGUGUGAGCGAAGAAGGCCUUCGGGUUGUAAAGCUCUUUCGCUUGGGAACAAGAAAAAUAGGUGAAUAAUCUAUUGAUUUGAGGGUACCAGGUAAAGAAGCACCGGCUAACUCCGUGCCAGCAGCUGCGGUAAUACGGAGGGUGCAAGCAUUAAUCGGAUUUAUUGGGCGUAAAGGGCGCGUAGGCGGCGGUGCAAGUCAGAUGUGAAAUUCCGGAGCUCAACUCCGGAGCUGCAUUUGAAACUGCAUUGCUCGAGGAUAGGCGGAGAAAAUGGAAUUCUACAUGUAGCGGUGGAAUGCGUAGAUAUGUGGAGGAACACCAGUGGCGAAAGCGAUUUUCUAGCUUAUUUCUGACGCUGAGGCGCGAAAGCAAGGGGAGCAAACAGGAUUAGAUACCCCCGUAGUC
rnacentral:rRNA from 1 species